rnacentral:rRNA from 1 species
GACGUAGGGCGCGAGCGUUGUCCGGAUUUAUUGGGCGUAAAGAGCUCGUAGGCGGCUUGUCGCGUCGACUGUGAAAACUCGGGGCUCAACUCCGAGCUUGCAGUCGAUACGGGCAGGCUAGAGUUCGGUAGGGGAGACUGGAAUUCCUGGUGUAGCGGUGAAAUGCGCAGAUAUCAGGAGGAACACCGGUGGCGAAGGCGGGUCUCUGGACCGAUACUGACGCUGAGGAGCGAAAGCGUGGGGAGCAAACAGG